GACGAACGCUGGCGGCGUGCUUAACACAUGCAAGUCGAACGGUAAGGCCCUUUCGGGGGUACACGAGUGGCGAACGGGUGAGUAACACGUGAGUAACCUGCCCUUGACUCUGGGAUAACAUCUGGAAACAGGUGCUAAUCCUGGAUAUUCUGCGAUGCCUGCAUGGGUGUUGUUGGAAAGUUCCGGCGGUCAGGGAUGGGCUCGCGGCCUAUCAGCUUGUUGGUGAGGUAGUGGCUCACCAAGGCUUCGACGGGUAGCCGGACUGAGAGGUUGACCGGCCACAUUGGGACUGAGAUACGGCCCAAACUCCUACGGGAGGCAGCAGUGGGGAAUAUUGCACAAUGGACGGAAGUCUGAUGCAGCAACGCCGCGUGCGGGAUGACGGCCUUCGGGUUGUAAACCGCUUUCAGCAGGGACGAAACUGACGGUACCUGCAGAAGAAGCACCGGCUAACUACGUGCCAGCCGCCGCCGUUAAAA
rnacentral:rRNA from 1 species